rnacentral:tRNA from 1 species
GGCGACAUACCCAAGUGGUUAAGGGGGCGGUCUGCAAAACCGCUAUGCUCCGGUUCAAAUCCGGAUGUCGCCU